AUACAGAGGGUGCGAGCGUUAAUCGGAAUUACUGGGCGUAAAGCGCGCGUAGGCGGCUUGGUCAGUCGGAUGUGAAAGCCCCGGGCUCAACCUGGGAAUGGCAUUCGAUACUGCCAGGCUAGAGUAUGGGGGAGGGAAGUGGAAUUUCCGGUGUAGCGGUGAAAUGCGUAGAUAUCGGAAGGAACACCAGUGGCGAAGGCGACUUCCUGGCCCAAUACUGACGCUGAGGUGCGAAAGCGUGGGGAGCGAACAGGAUUAGAUACCCUAGUAGUCC
rnacentral:rRNA from 1 species